rnacentral:rRNA from 1 species
UACGAGUGCCCCAAGCGUUAUCCGGAAUUAUUGGGCGUAAAGGGCAGGUAGGUGGUUUGAUAAGUCUGUUGUGAAAGCUCCCGGCUUAACUGGGAGAGGUCAACAGAAACUAUCAGGCUUGAGUAUGGGAGAGGGUACUGGAAUUCCCGGUGUAGCGGUGAAAUGCGCAGAGAUCGGGAGGAACACCUAUGGCGAAAGCAGGUACCUGGACCAUUACUGACACUCAGCUGCGAAAGCUAGGGGAGCAAACAGG